rfam:Sclerotinia borealis F-4128 unplaced genomic scaffold scaffold00048, whole genome shotgun sequence.
GGGGUUGUGGUUUAGUGGUAUAAUGUUCCUUUAGCAUAGGAGAGGUCCGGCGUUCGAUUCGCCGCUACUCCA